rnacentral:rRNA from 1 species
AGCGAACGCUGGCGGCAGGCCUAACACAUGCAGGUCGAACGGAGUCUUCGGACUUAGUGGCGGACGGGUGAGUAACACGUGGGAACGUGCCCUUUGGUACGGAAUAACUCAGGGAAACUUGAGCUAAUACCAUAUGUGCCCUUCGGGGGAAAGAUUUAUCGCCAUUGGAGCGGCCCGCGUCUGAUUAGCUAGUUGGUGAGGUAAAGGCUCACCAAGGCGACGAUCAGUAGCUGGUCUGAGAGGAUGAUCAGCCACAUUGGGACUGAGACACGGCCCAAACUCCUACGGGAGGCAGCAGUGGGGAAUCUUGCGCAAUGGGCGAAAGCCUGACGCAGCCAUGCCGCGUGAAUGAUGAAGGUCUUAGGAUUGUAAAAUUCUUUCACCGGGGACGAUAAUGACGGUACCCGGAGAAGAAGCCCCGGCUAACUUCGUGCCAGCCGCCGCCGUAACAC